GGACUCGGGCGGUCGCUCCCAACCCCUGUGACAUACCACUUGUUGCCUCGGCGGAUCAGCCCGCUCCCGGUAAAACGGGACGGCCCGCCAGAGGACCCCUAAACUCUGUUUCUAUAUGUAACUUCUGAGUAAAACCAUAAAUAAAUCAAAACUUUCAACAACGGAUCUCUUGGUUCUGGCAUCGAUGAAGAACGCAGCAAAAUGCGAUAAGUAAUGUGAAUUGCAGAAUUCAGUGAAUCAUCGAAUCUUUGAACGCACAUUGCGCCCGCCAGUAUUCUGGCGGGCAUGCCUGUUCGAGCGUCAUUUCAACCCUCAAGCACAGCUUGGUGUUGGGACUCGCGUUAAUUCGCGUUCCUCAAAUUGAUUGGCGGUCACGUCGAGCUUCCAUAGCGUAGUAGUAAAACCCUCGUUACUGGUAAUCGUCGCGGCCACGCCGUUAAACCCCAACUUCUGAAUGUUGACCUCGGAUCAGGUAGGAAUACCCGCUGAAGUAAAGCAUAUCAAUAAGCGGAGGA
rnacentral:rRNA from 1 species